rnacentral:pre_miRNA from 1 species
AUAAUAUAAAAAUCCGUUUUUUAACUUUUAACUAAAAAAAUUAAGAAUCGGUUUUUAAAUAUCUUAUUUAAGAACCGAUUCUUAGUUUUUUUAGUUAAAAAUUAAGAGACAGAUUUUUAUAUUUU